ACCAGGGCUUCUAGCAGGAUGAAGGACAAAGAUGAUCCGUGAAGGGCUGUUAGUGCUUUCAGGUGGCUGGGGAAGUCCAGGCCCCAAACUCCGUGAUGUCUGGAAGAACACGAAUGCACUGGAUCGAGAGGAGACCAAGACAUAGUAGCUGGACCAGUCGAGAGGGACUCGGGAAUCACUGAAUGAAUAAGAGAAGUCACACGCCCCCGGCCCUGUCCUGGAAAAGCAGCUCGUUGAGCAGGGCAGGAUCUGGAACCAGGCCAGCCUUAUGUGGUUGCCUUUAAAAAGAAACAAAACAAAGACUGACUUCCGACCAGCUGACCCUAAGCCUCUAAGCCUAGCAGCUCCCUACUGGGAUCUUUCAGACUGCAGGGGAGUCUGGCUAGGUGCCAGGACUGGCCUUUUGUGAGCCCAGGCAAACCAAUAACUCGUUCCCCAUGAACACCGUGGGCACAGUCAGGUCCUACUCUCCUCCUCCGGGGCAGCUCUGCGGAUCCUCCUGCAGCUAAAAUGUCCUUGCCUGGAGGGUAGCGAACAAGGGGCUGAGCGGCACUCCCUGAAGGCUCUUCUCCCACCACACCCCUCCCCCUAGGUCUUCCACACACCUGCAUUUGGGUACCAGAGUCACAGGCGGUAUUUCUUAGCACCUUUCUCUGCGAUCAGGCCUGGCUUCAACGUGACUAUGGUAAGAAGAUGCCCUCCAGCAGGCUGUGUUUGCAGACUACAUGGAGCCUCACGUGGGGAUUCUCUGAGCCCUGUGGAUUUACAGUAAGAUGCAGUUGCCUAGGGAGUAAUGCUGCACAGAUUUUGACUCUGGAGUAACAUACCUGGCUGGCCUUGGGAUGCUACAAAUGGCCUACUGGAUUCUUGGAGUCUGGAUGCCCACCGGGGACAAGGACCAUAGCUGUGAAGACUGGAUCUCUACCCCUGACUCAAUGAGAAUAUUUACUCUGAUCUCUCGGUCAACCUGGAGCUCUCUGUAAAAUGCGGAUCUCUGUGAGUUUGAGGCCAGCCUGGAGAGCUAGCUUCAGGACCACCAGGGCCGAUCCACAAUGAAAACAGAAGAAAACAAC